UACAGAGGUCCCAAGCGUUGUUCGGAUUCACUGGGCGUAAAGGGUGCGUAGGUGGUUGUGCAAGUCUGAUGUGAAAUCUCCGGGCUUAACCCGGAAAUGGCAUUGGAAACUGCAUGGCUAGAGGGUUGGAGGGGGGACUGGAAUACUUGGUGUAGCAGUGAAAUGCGUAGAUAUCAAGUGGAACACCAGUGGCGAAGGCGAGUCCCUGGACAACACCUGACACUGAGACACGAAAGCCAGGGGAGCGAACGGG
rnacentral:rRNA from 1 species